rnacentral:rRNA from 1 species
GAUAAACGCUGGCGGCGCACAUAAGACAUGCAAGUCGAACGGACAGAAGUUCAUUCUUUACGAUUGAAUGGAUGUUAGUGGCGGACUGGUGAGUAACACGUAAGCAACCUGCCUAUCAGAGGGGAAUAACAGUGAGAAAUCAUUGCUAAUACCGCGAUAUGCUAACAGUAUCGCAUGGAUACAGUUAGGAAAGGAGCAAUCCGCUGAUAGAUGGGCUUGCGUCUGAUUAGCUAGUUGGUGGGGUAACGGCCUACCAAGGCGACGAUCAGUAGCCGAGCUGAGAGGCUCAACGGCCACAUUGGGACUGAGAUACGGGCCCAGACUCCUACGGGAGGCAGCAGUCGGGAAUACUUGCGCAAUGGAGGAAACUCUGACGCAGUGACGCCGCGUAUAGGAAGAAGG